CCCUGCAACUUGGGGGUUUAUCUCUUUCUGUGUCUCAUUUUCCCUCUGCAUAUCAAACAUUACCUGAAGUGUAGUAGAAGGCUGGAAGAAUGACACUUGCUAAUUUGAAUUUCAGAACACACCUAAACGACAUUCUGAUCUUCAGAUAUCAGAUUGAGACACAGUCUGGUCAACCAAAAUUUAGAAGUCUGAGUUCCUCAUAGAGUCGGUGGAAAGGGAUGGUUGAUGUAUUCCUUGAUGUGCAAUAACCUGCAGUGGUCACAGAGCUCCAUGUGAGGAUUUACCAACUCUGAGAAGAGUGGAAGAAAUAUUUUAAGAGGAUAGGCAAUAAACAUUGCAUUUAUUAGCUUCUUGUGAGUAAAUAUUUAUCUAUCACUCCUUGGCUGUAUGCUACUAUUGCACAUUCAGCGCUCCCUGACUCACCUAUACUAUGUGGUCUGCAAACACUCAUAAGAAAAUUUUUCACCACAUGGCAAGACAGACAUGACAGUGAGUUCUGGGAAUGCAAAGUAGCUUCAAUGGAGUUAUAGAAGGGAGGACCAUGGCCCAUUACCUCUUGGAAUUUCCUGAUUUGAGGGGUUGAUUGAGCAACCUAAAUGCUGCAUUUGAGCUAGCUUCUACCUGGCUAGGAGGCUAAGGCAGUGUGGUCAGCAUUGGUGGGGAUGGAAGGGAACAGAGCUGCAGCUGUGUCACACAGUGAUGGAACCUAGAGCAGGACGAUAUGUGUCAAUGCAGUAUUGCAUGGUGAGAUUUGGCACAUGGACUGUGCAUACAGCAUGUGUUCAGUACAUGUAACGUGGUUGUAGUGUGUGGGAUAUAUUGCACGGACUGACUGGUUAUGUACAGCUCACUGAUUUUUGUUAUUGAAUCCUCCUCUCAAAAAGUUAAACAUGGUGAACAGUGAAGACAAAACUUUUGUUAAAACCUCCAACAGCACAGCAUUUUGAAAGUUGCAGCAUAUAAACAUGGAAAUUUCAGAGCAGAUCAUCAUUUGGAAUAACAUUUCUGACUGCUGUUUUGACACUGUAUGCUCAUGCCAGUCUAUAAUGCUGACACAACUUUAGGAAC